CCUUUAAUCAGGGCUUUAACCAUAGAAGGUGCUAGUCCUAUAAUCCCGAAUAGUUUGUGCUGUACAUAGUAUACCUUUCGAGUAGCGUAGUUUGAGAUUGCUACGCCAACGUGGGACGUAAACUUGUUCCAAAGCUAAAUAUUAUAACGAGACCGAUAGCGAACAAGUACCGUGAGGGAAAGUUGAAAAGCACUCUGAAGAGAGAGUUAAAUAGUACGUAAAACCGUACAGAAGAAAACGAAUGGCCGCAUUCAUCAGAUUACUUUGGAUUCAAUUCGAUCUCUAUAUGAUGGUGAUACAAGUUGAUUUGGAACUUCAACAGUCCAUCGAUUUGUUAUUGCCUAGAGUCGGAUGCAUUUUCAAAGUAUUAACUGAACCUGGAUCUAUAACAUUGAAAGCUAGUCGAAUCAGUCUAUUUUGGUAGCGAGUAUUACUCGUGUUAAAAAUAUGACUUGCAUAAAUAACAAAUUCGACUUGGCGUUAUAGGUAAACAGACAUGUUCUUUGAUUUCAGUACUUCUAGUACGGCAUGCCAUGAGCAUUGUUUGUGUCACAUGAGUAACUAAUAUCUAACCAAUAUUAGUUUUAUUCAUCGUUGAUGCUUAAUGUUUUGUGGCUGUCAAUGAAAUCGGCAAGUCUACAGGAGUUUUGAAUGCCGAGUUAUUCGACCCGUCUUGAAACACGGUCUAAGGAGUUCACUGCAUGUGCAAGAGUUCGGCUGUAUGAAAAGCCUUGCUCGUAAUGAAAGUAAAGAACAUUCUUGCAAUGUUUGAAGUGUGAUUUCUGUCAUCUGGUGCAAAUCAUGACAAUGAACGCAACACUGACAGGU
rnacentral:rRNA from 1 species